UCCCUCUUAGCUCAGUUGGUAGAGCGCGUCACUAGUAUUCAAUGUGAAUUGCAGCAAUUGUAAUGACGAGGUCAGUCGUUCGAGUCGGCUAGAGGGAA